AACGAACGCUGGCGGCAUGCCUAACACAUGCAAGUCGAACGAGACCUUCGGGCCUAGUGGCGCACGGGUGCGUAACGCGUGGGAACCUGCCCUUAGGUUCGGAAUAACUCCCCGAAAGGGGUGUUAAUACCGGAUAAUGUCUUCGGACCUAAGAUUUAUUGCCUUUGGAUGGGCCCGCGUUGGAUUAGGUAGUUGGUAGGGUAAAAGCCUACCAAGGCGACGAUCCAUAGCUGGUCUGUGAGGAUGAUCAGCCACACUGGGACUGAGACACGGCCCAGACUCCUACGGGAGGCAGCAGUGGGGAAUAUUGGACAAUGGGCGAAAGCCUGAUCCAGCAAUGCCGCGUGAGUGAUGAAGGCCUUAGGGUUGUAAAGCUCUUUUACCCGGGAUGAUAAUGACAGUACCGGGAGAAUAAGCUCCGGCUAACUCCGUG
rnacentral:rRNA from 1 species